rnacentral:tRNA from 1 species
AGCUCAGCUGGCUAGAGCGUACAUAACCGUUCGGUCGCAGGUUCGAGUCCUGCAAGGUCCA